CCUACGGGUGGCAGCAGUGAGGAAUAUUGGUCAAUGGGCGGAAGCCUGAACCAGCCAAGUAGCGUGCAGGAUGACGGCCCUACGGGUUGUAAACUGCUUUUAUACGGGAAUAACGCGCCUUACGUGUAGGGCUUUGCAUGUACCGUAUGAAUAAGGACCGGCUAAUUCCGUGCCAGCAGCCGCGGUAAUACGGAAGGUCCAGGCGUUAUCCGGAUUUAUUGGGUUUAAAGGGAGCGUAGGCGGCAUGUCAAGCGUGCUGUGAAAUGGCCGGGCUCAACCCGGGCCUUGCAGCGCGAACUGGCGUGCUUGAGUCCGCGGAAAGCAGGCGGAAUGUGUCGUGUAGCGGUGAAAUGCUUAGAUAUGACGAAGAACCCCGAUUGCGAAGGCAGCUUGCUGCAGCGGAACUGACGCUGAUGCUAGAAAGCGUGGGGAGCGAACAGGAUUAGAUACCCUAGUAGUC
rnacentral:rRNA from 1 species